GUUAGUGGCGAAAGGGUUAGUAAUAGAUAGGUAACGUACCCUGUGCUUCGGAAUAGCGUCGGUUGCUUCGGCAACCUACCGAAAGGGGCGGUAAUACCGAAUAAUAUCACUUGUCGAUGGACAAGUGUUCAAAGAUUUAUCGGCGUAGGAGCGACCUAUUUCCUAUCAGCUUGUUGGUGAGGUAAUAGCUCACCAAGGCUAUGACGGGUAGCGGGACUGAGAGGUUGGCCCGCAACAUCGGGACUGAGACACUGCCCGGACCUCCACGGAGGGCUGCAGUAACGAAUAUUGCGCAAUGGGCGAAAGCCUGACGCAGCGACGCCGCGUGCGGGAGGAAGUCUUUCGGGAUGUAAACCGCUGUCAGGGGUUAGAAAGUGCGUUUCGGCGUAUUGAUCAGCCCCAAAGGAAGUCACGGCUAACUUCGUGCCAGCAGCCGCGGUAAGACGAAGGUGGCGAGCGUUGUUCGGUGUUACUGGGCUUAAAGCGUGUGUAGGCGGAAAAGUAAGCGUUUUGUGAAAUCCCUCGGCUUAACCGGGGAACUGCUUGGCGAACUGCUUUUCUUGAGGCAAGUAGGGGUGCAUGGAACUCUUGGUGGAGCGGUGGAAUGCGUAGAUAUCAAGAGGAACGCCAAUGGAGAAAUCAGUGCACUGGGCUUGUCCUGACGCUGAGACACGAAAGCGUGGGGAGCGAACGGGAUUAGAUACCCCGG
rnacentral:rRNA from 1 species